GUGGGGAAUCUUGCGCAAUGGGCGAAAGCCUGACGCAGCAACGCCGCGUGCGGGAUGACGGCCUUCGUGGUUGUAAACCGCUUUCAGCAGGGACGAAAAUGACGGUACCUGCAGAAGAAGCCCCGGCUAACUACGUGCCAGCAGCCGCGGUAAUACGUAGGGGGCAAGCGUUGUCCGGAAUCAUUGGGCGUAAAGAGCUCGUAGGCGGUUCAGUAAGUCGGGUGUGAAAGCUCCGAGCUCAACUCGGAGAGGCCACUCGAUACUGCUGUGACUAGAAUCCAGUAGGGGAGUGUGGAAUUCCUGGUGUAGCGGUGAAAUGCGCAGAUAUCAGGAGGAACACCGGCGGCGAAGGCGGCACUCUGGGCUGGUAUUGACGCUGAGGAGCGAAAGUGUGGGUAGCAAACAGGAUUAGAAACCCCGGUAGUCC
rnacentral:rRNA from 1 species